rnacentral:rRNA from 1 species
UGCCAGCCGCCGCGGUAAUACGGAGGGGGCUAGCGCUACUCGGAAUUACUGGGCGUAAAGCGAGCGUAGGCGGUUAAUCAAGUUGGGGGUGAAAGCCCGGGGCUCAACCCCGGAAAUGCCCUCAAAACUAGUUAACUAGAGGACGGGAGAGGGGAGUGGAACUCCCAGUGUAGAGGUGAAAUUCGUAGAUAUUGGGAAGAACACCAGUGGCGAAGGCGACUCUCUGGACCGAUUUUGACGCUGAGGCGCGAGAGCGUGGGGAGCAAACAGGAUUAGAUA